rnacentral:rRNA from 1 species
CUCAUCUUUCAAUGGAUGGAGCGGAAGCCGGAGAUUCGAUUGCGCCAGCGCUCGGCCGCCUGGAAACCACUCCGGCGGACGGCGAUGGGUUCACACUAAUCGCAAACUACACUACUGUUCGCAUCGCCCGUAUGAGGUGGCCUCUAAUAAAUCUAUUUUUCCCAUGCGAGACUCUGAAUCCCCUUUGCAUAUGGCUUGUGUGCAGGGCCACAGAUCCAAUUUCACCGCCGGCAAUCCAAUCUUUUCAAGCGGGUUCAUAGAUAGAGGGGUGUCGUUGGAGGCGGAUUUAAAGGGGCACUCAAGCAUCCCAAAUGCUGCGCACAUCCUAGAUGCGAGUAGUAAUGGUGGGACGCCGAGCGUCUGCUCAUUCCUGUUUCUCAAGAACUUCUCUUCAUCCAUCGACGGCAGCUGGGCGGAUUCAGAUACAGGACUCACGGCUGGAACGCGAAGAUCUCGUUUCGCCCGGGUCCCAUGCCAUGGAGUGUCUCGAUUGCAAAAACCUGCCUGCUGUGUGUGGAGUUGUCGAAGGAUCAUCUUGCCACGUUUCAGUUCCGAUGACAACUUUCUAUUGGUUCGAAGCUGUAAGAUGCUAUUAUCAUGUCAUUGCUCCAUUAUUUUCGACAUUAUAAGGCUUCUAUGAUACGUUUGACAAUCUGCCAUGUUUGGAUCACAACUUUUUGCAUUUGUCCAAGGCUGCAACAGGCAAGUGCUUGGGGCAUAUAUUGAACAUUUGCAAUCCGUUGAUGUAAAAGAGAGAAUAAGCCUAUGGGUAAGACCAGUGGCGAAUCUAGAAAAUAAUGGAGGGGGGGCUGGGCUGCCUGGGUCAUGCAAAUAUGUGUUGGAUUGAGCCUGCAAGUAGCUGGGCUGGGCCUUAAAACUAGUAGUAAAUACAAAUUUUACAGCACUGAAGGGGGGGCUUGAGCCUGUUAAAGCCCCCCUAGUAGAUUCGCCCUUGGGUAAGACAAUCUUUGUAACCAGGAUUCAUGGAGAUAGGAGGACCAGGAUUCAUGGACCUGGCUAGUAGAGGUUUCUUGAUGAGUACACAUUGCGCGCGGCCUGGUGACAUGGUGUACAAUCUGCCUCCCUCGUGGUGAUGAAAGAUGUUUUGUGGAUGUGGAGAGGGAUGGCAUAAGGCAAACGCCACUUCCUUUUAUUGCUUCGAAUGGCCUAUCCCUCAUGAAGCGCGAGCUCAUCGACCAGUGUGUGUACACCAGGGGGAUACAUCAGUUGGAAUAUCCGGAGAUGAGAAAGAUGAUUAGAUGUGCAUUCGGUACAUUGGAAAAUGUAUGUUGCAUCUUUGUACACAAGAUGAAUGGUUACAGCUCUUUUGUGAAC